CUACGGGCGGCUGCAGGCGCGAAAACUUUACAAUGCGGGAAACCGCGAUAAGGGGACACCGAGUGCCAGCAUCUAUGUUGGCUGUCCACAUGUGUAAACGGCAUGUGUUAGCAAGGGCCGGGCAAGACCGGUGCCAGCCGCCGCGGUAACACCGGCGGCCCGAGUGGUAAUCACUUUUAUUGGGUCUAAAGGGUCCGUAGCCGGUUUGAUCAGUUCUUCGGGAAAUCUACAGCUCAACUGUUAGGCUUCCGGGGAAUACUGUCAGACUUGGGACCGGGAGAGGUAAGAGGUACUACAGGGGUAGGAGUGAAAUCUUGUAAUCCCUGUGGGACCACCAGUGGCGAAGGCGUCUUACCAGAACGGGUCCGACGGUGAGGGACGAAAGCUGGGGGCACGAACCGGAUUAGAUACCCCUGUAGUC
rnacentral:rRNA from 1 species